rnacentral:rRNA from 1 species
GACAGAGGGUGCAAACGUUGCUCGGAAUCACUGGGCGUAAAGAGCUCGUAGGCGGUCCGUCACGUCGGAUGUGAAAUUCCAGGGCUCAACCCUGGACCUGCAUUCGAUACGGGCGGACUAGAGUUCGGUAGGGGAGACUGGAAUUCCUGGUGUAGCGGUGAAAUGCGCAGAUAUCAGGAGGAACACCGGUGGCGAAGGCGGGUCUCUGGGCCGAUACUGACGCUGAGGAGCGAAAGCGUGGGGAGCGAACAGG